rnacentral:rRNA from 1 species
UGGGGAAUUUUGGACAAUGGGCGAAAGCCUGAUCCAGCAAUGCCGCGUGUGUGAAGAAGGCCUUCGGGUUGUAAAGCACUUUUGUCCGGAAAGAAAUGGCUCUGGUUAAUACCUGGGGUCGAUGACGGUACCGGAAGAAUAAGGACCUGCUAACUACGUGCCAGCAGCCGCGGUAAUACGUAGGGUCCAAGCGUUAAUCGGAAUUACUGGGCGUAAAGCGUGCGCAGGCGGUUGUGCAAGACCGAUGUGAAAUCCCCGAGCUUAACUUGGGAAUUGCAUUGGUGACUGCACGGCUAGGGUGUGUCAGAGGGGGGUAGAAUUCCACGUGUAGCGGUGGAAUGCGUCGAGAUGUGGAGGAAUACCGAUGGCGAAGGCAGCACCAUGGGAUAACACUGACGAUCAUGCACGAAAGCGUGGGGAGCAAACAGG